rnacentral:rRNA from 1 species
UACGGAGGGUGCGAACGUUGCUCGGAAUCAUUGGGCGUAAAGCGCACGUAGGCGGCUGUGCAAGUUGGAUGUGAAAGCCCUGGGCUCAACCCAGGAAGUGCAUCCAAAACUGCACGGCUCGAGUGCCGAAGGGGGCCAGAGAAUUCCCGGUGUAGAGGUGAAAUUCGUAGAUAUCGGGAGGAAUACCAGUGGCGAAGGCGCUGGCCUGGUCGGAAACUGACGCUGAGGUGCGACAGCGUGGGGAGCAAACAGG